rnacentral:rRNA from 1 species
CGGAGCUUGCUCCACCGGAAAAAGAAGAGUGGCGAACGGGUGAGUAACACGUGGGUAACCUGCCCAUCAGAAGGGGAUAACACUUGGAAACAGGUGCUAAUACCGUAUAACAAUCGAAACCGCAUGGUUUUGAUUUGAAAGGCGCUUUCGGGUGUCGCUGAUGGAUGGACCCGCGGUGCAUUAGCUAGUUGGUGAGGUAACGGCUCACCAAGGCCACGAUGCAUAGCCGACCUGAGAGGGUGAUCGGCCACAUUGGGACUGAGACACGGCCCAAACUCCUACGGGAGGCAGCAGUAGGGAAUCUUCGGCAAUGGACGAAAGUCUGACCGAGCAACGCCGCGUGAGUGAAGAAGGUUUUCGGAUCGUAAAACUCUGUUGUUAGAGAAGAACAAGGAUGAGAGUAACUGUUCAUCCCUUGACGGUAUCUAACCAGAAAGCCACGGCUAACUACGUGCCAGCAGCCGCGGUAAUACGUAGGUGGCAAGCGUUGUCCGGAUUUAUUGGGCGUAAAGCGAGCGCAGGCGGUUUCUUAAGUCUGAUGUGAAAGCCCCCGGCUCAACCGGGGAGGGUCAUUGGAAACUGGGAGACUUGAGUGCAGAAGAGGAGAGUGGAAUUCCAUGUGUAGCGGUGAAAUGCGUAGAUAUAUGGAGGAACACCAGUGGCGAAGGCGGCUCUCUGGUCUGUAACUGACGCUGAGGCUCGAAAGCGUGGGGAGCAAACAGGAUUAGAUACCCUGGUAGUCCACGCCGUAAACGAUGAGUGCUAAGUGUUGGAGGGUUUCCGCCCUUCAGUGCUGCAGCUAACGCAUUAAGCACUCCGCCUGGGGAGUACGACCGCAAGGUUGAAACUCAAAGGAAUUGACGGGGGCCCGCACAAGCGGUGGAGCAUGUGGUUUAAUUCGAAGCAACGCGAAGAACCUUACCAGGUCUUGACAUCCUUUGACCACUCUAGAGAUAGAGCUUCCCCUUCGGGGGCAAAGUGACAGGUGGUGCAUGGUUGUCGUCAGCUCGUGUCGUGAGAUGUUGGGUUAAGUCCCGCAACGAGCGCAACCCUUAUUGUUAGUUGCCAUCAUUCAGUUGGGCACUCUAGCAAGACUGCCGGUGACAAACCGGAGGAAGGUGGGGAUGACGUCAAAUCAUCAUGCCCCUUAUGACCUGGGCUA